AACGAACGCUGGCGGCGUGGAUAAGACAUGCAAGUCGAACGGGGCAUUGAGAGUAGCAAUAUGAUCAAUGUUCAGUGGCGAACGGGUGCGUAACACGUGGAUAUAUUCCGGGAAGCGGGGGAUAGCCCAGGGAAACUUGGAUUAAUACCGCAUGUGGUCGAAAGACUAAAGACGGGGACCGCAAGGCCUGUCACUUCCCG
rnacentral:rRNA from 1 species